rnacentral:piRNA from 1 species
UAGUGUCUCGUUAACUGCUAUGGUUG